rnacentral:lncRNA from 1 species
CAGAGCCGCUCGUCUGACACAGAGGAAGAGCCAUCCUUGAGCUAAGAGGACUGGCUGUAAUUAGCAUGGAGAGAUUAAAUACGAAAGGAACACUGUCAAAAACCCAUUUCCACCACAGGAAAUGAGCGUGGCCUAGAAUAGAUGCAGAGCAUGAUUAAACUGCAGGACGGGCUCGGGAGGGAGGGUGAGCCGGCACACAUCUCCUGGGAGCCGCCCCAGACCUAUGCUUGGGACCACUGCUGAGUCAGAUCCAUGGAGGCGGUUCUCUGCAGAUGAUGCGGAGAAACAGGAUGCUAGGCAUCUUUAUCCUGCUUCCAGUGCUGACUGAGCCAUCCAGGCUCCCACAGAGGCCAAGUCCUGGCAGUAAAGAAUGUGGAGACCCAUACGGGCAGCGGGCAGACAGCCCGAGAAGGCCAGAGGCGGAUGCCAGGUGUGUGCAGAUGUUACCUGGAGCACUGACAUCAAACCUGCAAAAGGGUCCAAGGUCAGGAUUCCUGUUCUCGGGGAGGGUGUAGGGAGCAGGGCAGGAGCUCGGGAGCAGGGGA